AAACAACAGGCAUUUAUUCUCUCACAUUUCUGGAGGUCAGAAGUCCAAGAUGAAUCCCACUGGACUGAAAUCAUGAUGUCAGCAGGGCUGUACUCCCUAGAGGUUCUAGAGAGAACCCAUUUCCUUGUCUUUUUUUAACUUCUGGAGGCUGCAUUUCCUGGCUUAUGGCCCUGUCCUCUGUCUUCGAAGCUAGCAUUGUAGCAUCUUGUUCAUGUCACAUGGGCUUCUUCUAGGUAGUCUUCCCUUUGCCUCUGCCUCUGCUAAGAUGCUGGGGAAGACAAGAGAGCUCUGGUAGAGUGUGGAGGUGAAACCUUUGGUCUCUGGAUAUAGCAGGAGCAGUAUUUGAACUCAUUGAGUCCAGCUGUCGGGUGGGUGGUCUCAUCUCUCUAAGCCUCAGUUAUUUCACCAUCUCUCACUUGCUACACAUCAGGAUGCUGUCCAAUAUGGCAGCCAUUAGCCCCGUGUGGCUCUGAAGCAUUUGUGAUGUGGCUGGUCCUAAUUCAGACGUGCUGCAAGUGUAAAACACACACCAGAUUUCAAGCACGUAGUACCUGGCUCUUUUUUUUUUUUUUUUUUGCUUUUUAAAAUGUGGCUUAUUAGAACAUGUAAGACUCCACGUAUGGCUCGCAUUUGUGGUUCACAUUAUGUUUCUAUUGGAUGGUGCUGCUCUUUAGCAUCUUCUAAGCUUGAACUUGAGUGUCUUUUGCCUGGGAGUGAGCAGGUAAGCCGUUCAAGGGACUCUGCUCUGCUCCAGGGAACCACAGCAAAAACCUGUUCUCUGAAGAUCCUGCCGAGGGAUUUGGGUGGAUAAAUAUUUACAGUUCUGAGGUUGCAUUUCGAACAGCUCCAACAUGUUUGCAGAGUUUGUAUAAACCUAAUCAUCGCAAGGCACACGGUUUUCAUUUCAACUGCCUUUAAUCCUGCGGCCCCUGAGAAAGGAGAUGUGAUGACAUCUCUUCAAAGUGCGAGGCCAAGUCUGCUGGGAAAUGGCCACAGGUAUCCGCAAAAGGGCAGGGCCUGAUUUGGGAUGUUCGCUGGUGGUUGCAUUUUUGGAAGUAAUAGUGGUGUUUUUAAUGGCCAAACUCAAUUACCCUCCUAAUCUGUUGUAGAAUAAAAAGUUAGGAAUUCUAAGAGCCUAAGGCUAUACGUAAAACACCACUGCUCACCACUCCAAGGGGACUUGGCAAAAGAUUUUAAGUUGCUGCUAAUGAAAAUUUAAGUUGGGUGUUGGGAACAAGA
rnacentral:lncRNA from 10 species